AUUCAAGUUCAAAAUAUGGCAACUUUGAAAGGUAUUAUGAGGCAACUAAAGUUCAUCUAAAAUAUCCAGUAAUUUACCAAGUCUAUGAAAAUGGUAGCAGCAGCAAAAUACACCUGAGCUCUGAGAGAGCUGAAACAUGCUCAAAUAUAUAGAUUGGAAACUUUGGCUCUGUAUGAAAAAGCUGGUAUCAAGGUGCCUGAAGACAAGAAGAAACAUGGUGCUAUUCAUUCCUCCAUUGCUAAACAGAUGGAAAGCGAGGUUGCUACACUAACACUAGCUUGGAAAGAAGUUACGCUGGUUGGAAUGGGUGACAAAAUCAGAGGCAUACUUUAUAGGACUCAUUCUGACCAGUUUCUAGUGGCAUUCAAAGAAAUGGGAAGAAAGCCUCCUACUUUUGGAGAUGUGCCAGCCAUUGCUUUUGAAUUACUCAAUUUUGUAUACGAAUUUGAUGAAGUCUCCAUCAACUUUAAUCGAUUCAGGUCUAUCAUCUUUAAGACAGAAGAAAAGCCCAUCUUUUCCCUUAACACCAUUGAAAGUGCUGAGAGCACGAGUAUCUAAACGAUAUGGAUGCUGAUGUGCUGCAAAAUUACCAAGGAUACAAUCUGGCCAACAUCAUCUACUACUCUCUGAAAGAGUCCACCACCAGUGAGCAGAGUGCCAGGAUGACAGCCAGGGAUAACGCCAGCAAGAAUGCUUCUGAGAUGAUUGACAAAUUGACACUGACAUUCAACCGUACUGGCCAAGCUGUCAUCACAAAAGAGUUGAUUGAAAUUAUCUCUGGUGCUGAAGCUCUGGAUUAAUGAAAAUGAAGUUCCAUCCUCAGAGAAGAGGUAAGGAAGGAAAAUUCAGCCAGGUGAUUUUGUUUUUAGCUUACUGCUGUCUUCGUCAGAAGAAAGUGUUCCUCCAUUGUUUGAAUUACUGAAGACAGUAAGGUAUUUGUAAAUUAUCUUACAAUAAACAACUUAAAAUAA